rnacentral:lncRNA from 1 species
GGUUCCCUGUGCACCAGAAGCGGAAGGGAAGGCACGCCAUUAAUUCCUCCAAGCUUUCUUUCUCUUUCAUUCCUUCUCAAAAACCCAUCUCAAAGAGAGGAAGAAGAUGAAGAAAGUUAGCCUCUUAGCAGUGUUUUUGGUCUUGUUGUUGAGUCCGCAGCGUCAUGUGGAGGCCAAGGGUGGUUUCAUAAGGACGAAGGGGCUGCAUUUUGUUCUGAAUAGGUACCCAUUCUUCGCCAAUGGUUUCAAUGCCUACUGGCUCACCUACGUGGCCUCGGUUCCUUCUCAGAGGUACAAGGUCUCGAAUGCCUUCAGAGAAGCCUCCAGCCAUGGGCUCUCUGUGGCCAGGACCUUUGGGGCCCUUUCGAAUUGGAUGGGGGGANCACAGCGUUGCAGUACUCCCUGGUUCUUACAAUGAGCAAAUGUUCAAGGUCUUACAAUNNNNNNNNNNNNNNNNNNNNCCUACUGGCUCACCUACGUGGCCUCGGAUCCUUCUCAGAGGUACAAGGUCUCGAAUGCCUUCAGAGAAGCCUCCAGCCAUGGGCUCUCUGUGGCCAGGACUUGGGCCUUCAAUGAUGGGGGGAGCACAGCGUUGCAGUACUCCCCUGGUUCUUACAAUGAGCAAAUGUUCAAGG